rnacentral:lncRNA from 1 species
AAUUGAAGGGACUUGAUAGUUACUGGAUGAUAAGAAUCACACUAACUUUCAAGUGGAGUGAGAAGAGUCUUUGUAGUUGCUCUUGCAUGGAAGAUGAAGACUUUAUCAAUGGUUCGAUUCAAAUCGCACUAAAGUUUAUGAAUGAAGGUGAAUACGAUGAGUGCUGGGUCAUAUGUCCCAUACCCAAAGAUACUCAGAAUGGGGGUAGGAAUACUCCAGUCCCACUCCUUCUCCAUUGCUUUAGGCUCGUAUUGUACAACUUGAUUCAUGAUUGAUAAGCUA